GACGUAGGGCGCGAGCGUUGUCCGGAUUUAUUGGGCGUAACGAGCUCGUAGGCGGCUUGUCGCGUCGACCGUGAAAACUUGGGGCUCAACCCCAAGCCUGCGGUCGAUACGGGCGGACUAGAGUUCGGUAGGGGAGACUGGAAUUCCUGGUGUAGCGGUGAAAUGCGCAGAUAUCAGGAGGAACACCGGUGGCGAAGGCGGGUCUCUGGGCCGAUACUGACGCUGAGGAGCGAAAGCGUGGGGAGCGAACAGG
rnacentral:rRNA from 1 species